rnacentral:lncRNA from 1 species
UUAAAUCUUUCUUUAUUGAGUUGAACAAUUUAAAUACAAUCCUCUUCCACCCCUCCCUUAUCAUCAGGUGAUAUAAUGAACUGAACCUUGAGCACAAAAGUAGUAGGUUCCAGAAACUAAUGGCGUUGGUGGCGAGUGUGGGGGAGGCAUAAGUGAGGGUUUGAAAUGAGAGAGAAGGCCACUGUUUUGAGACUCACUUGAAUUUGAUCAGUAAUUUAGUGGGUAACCUCAAGAGGAUUUGGGUUGUCAAUCUUUUUUGAAAGAUUGUUGUUCAUGGUUGAAAUUAACUUCAAACUUAAAAGCUGAAAGAAAAUCCAAUUUUGCUUCACUCGCUAACCCAAUGAAAUGGCAUUGGAUUUAUUAUACGUCAAUAACCUGAGACUCGAAUCUGAGAAAAGAUUCGAGCCUUCGACCCAUGACCCGACUACGAGAGGACAACAAAGCGAACCAGAUUGUAAGGCAAGACUAUAGACCCAGCUUACAGGAACCUUGCGCGAGCUCAUAGGGCAAGAUCACAGGUACAACUCGCAGAACCAGCUUGCGAGAUAAUAUUACAGACCAGUUUACGAGGACCUAGGGAAGGUUGCAGUCUCACUUCGUAUGCACGCAAUGAACUCGCAAGAGGUGCCACAUGCUCCAUAGGCCACGCAGACACGUGUCCAGUAGGUAUGGAGCUCGCUUAGAACGCCAGUCCCAAGAGCAGAAAGGACCGCGAGCUCCGUAGACACGUGCUCAGCAAAUCUAAAGUGCGUAGAGAAUGUCAAUAUGAGGGAUAGAGAAUUUCAAUACUGAAAGCAGCAGAGUCAAGACAAAAUAAUGGAACCUCAUCAUGAGCUAUAAUAGUACCGAUAAAAACAUGUAUAAAUACCUAAAUACUCACGUCAAUAAAGGACAAGAAAAAUAUUACUUAAUAAGAUUUAUUGUCAAGCUUCUAAAUACGGCAAGAAGGGCGGGAAUAGCAUUCAUUACAUGAUUUGGCAUGUAUUCCAAAAUGUAAGACGAAGGGUUUUCUUUAAUUAAAGAUAAAAAUCACAUUAUUUGAAUAUAUUAGAUUAAGGACAUUUAAAUAAAAAUACCCCUAAACAUAGGCUUGAUUAGAUUUUUUUUGAUUGCUUUGAAAGUGAUUGGGUUUGCUAAAUGCUACGGUUUCUAUUUCUUUUUUUGAAAUAAAGAUUUUAUCAUUUAACAGUAAUAAAAGAAAGAUUAGGUUAGACUAACCCAAAUCAAUAGAUACACUCCUUACAUCUCACCCUAAAAUCCUAAUACGCUUGAAGAGUUGCGAAUGAAAUCAACUGUACACAAAUAUGGCAAUCAAUGAAAUCAACUGUACAUAGAGCUCCACAGAUGAGAACCUGUAGACAAAAGCAAAUAUCAAGACCCUUAACCUUCAAAGCUCGAUCCACCAAGAGCCACCGACGCGGACAAAGCUCAAGGACAAAGAUGAUGAUCCUUAGAAAGUCACAACACCUAUCCCAUCUCGAUGAACCUAGCCAGCAAUGCACACCUGAAUCUCCUCGAUCCAAACAAGAUUUUCAAUAGCUGAGAUAUCUGAGAAAUCCUAUUUAGAGAGAAUGUGAGCCGACUGAUUUACUCCACCACAAACAUGGCGAAAGACACAAGAGCAAAAACUGGUAGCCAACCGACGACCAUCAACAACAAACCCACAGAUGAAUUUUUGCUGAUUCUCUUUUAUGCUGUGAUGGUGGUGAAAUGGUGAUAGAGUAAGUAGUGUUGGUGAAGGUGGUGGCUAUGGUUUAGAGAGGGCAGAGAGUGAUCUUGAUGGUGGGCGGUUGGGGAGACUCGGUAGUGAUGAGAUGGUGGAGCUUCUGGGCAGUAAAAUUGCAGUGGAGAUGGGUACGGUAGGGGAAUUUGGGUGGCUUUGACUCUUACUUGGCGAGGAUAAGUGAUUUGAGGCAUGAAGAUGUUGUAUGGUGAUGGUGGGUAGAAAAGAAAAUAGUAAAACAGAGAGGAAAAGAAAAGAAAAAGUAAAUUUUUUUGUUGUAAAUAAAAAAAAAUCUGAAUUAGAGAGGUUAUAGUUUUAGUUAAAAAGUAAUAAAAAUGUUACUAGUGAAUCAUUCUAUUUCAAAAUGAUUAUAGACGUAAUUUACUAUUUUUUAAAAUGAAAAAAAAAGACUAAACACAUAUAAUAUUAAAAAAUAAAAAUGUUUAUUAGAAUUUAUUUUUAAAAUUUAUGAAUUAAUUGUAAAAUAAUAAAUUUAAUUAAAUCUAC